AUCCUGUGAAAAAAUUGGAACCAAACCCAUUUAGAAUCACUGAAGGGGCUGGUUUGAUUAUAACAAUUACAUCUGGAGAAUACACAGGGCCAACACAUUUUAAUGUAUGUUUGUCUGCUGACAAAGUUGCUGACAAUUGUACAACUGUUUUUGUCAAAGACUCUGAUGACUAUCAUUUUCAUUCGUUCAACGGGAGCAUUCCUGUGAAUGCAACUUUUGAUAAUCUAUUGGCUUUCUGGAACUACACUGUUAGGGUACUAGCAAGUACAGGAGCUGAAGACUCGACAUGGACUGAAACAAAGGUGGAAACUUUAACAAACACUCCAGGCUUUGCAGCAGCAACAGUGAAACAAGACUUAAACAUUGCCACUUUAUUUACCAUAGACAUUCAGUGUCCCCCAGAGCAAGAGCGCAGAGGAAAAAUUCUAAAUUAUAUAAUCAAUAUUAGUAAUAAUUCUAGUUCAUUCAACCAGACAAUUAAAACAUUGAAUGAAUGCAGUAACAAUACCACUGAAACUCUCAAGGAUAUUAAAGUAGAAC
rnacentral:sRNA from 1 species